rnacentral:lncRNA from 1 species
CUUCAUUGAAGAGUGACAGUAAUUGCAUCUGCCUGAGAGUUGAUAAGAAAAUUUGUCAAGUUACAAAAUUAUAUCACUGUGACCAAAGAAUAGAUCACCAUCCCAAGCGUUUGAAGAUGACAUCGUGGGAUGGCAUUGUUGGGAUGCCCCAAAUCUCCCAGAUAUUUACAGGAUAAACAGUGACCAGAAAGAGAGAGUUCUUGGGUUCCUUCUGCCAUAUUCAUGACGCUCAUGAAAAAUAGCUGAGGAGAUGCAACUUCCAAGCAUUCCUGCCACAUGGAACAGAGUGAGGAUAAAUGAAGAACACAGAAAGCCAUUACCUCAUCUUUGGGAGCACCAUCACUGCCCAAGCAAGACUUCUAUUUCAAUUGUCAGUGCAUGUUUUUUUUUUCUUUCUUAUAAUGUGUUUUUUAAACUGUCAAGGCCCCACAAAGAACUUUUUUGAAAUCCUCCCACUAAUGGAGGGGAGAUGGCCCAGAUUGUCGUAACCCCAGAGUAUGAGGACUUGAUUUGCUCCUAAUGCAUUUUUCCCAUCACCUGCCAGCAAAAAUC